GAUGCAGAAGCAUUGGGUUCGCUGCUUGCUCUUGGAAUGAAUCCUGAUGCACAGGUUCAACCAAGAGGGAAGGGACCUUUUCCUCCAGCAAAGAAACUAGAAGGUGGUUUGCCAAGGCAUUUAGCGUUGCCUUUCACAAAAGCAAGUGGCACUAGGUCAAAGGAUGUGCGAGUUGGCAUAACAUUGUCUUGGGUGUUCUUCUUACAGGCAAUUCGUUUGAAGUACUUGCAUCCAGACAGUGAGCUUCAAAACUAUGCAAUUCAGGUUAUGGACAUGCUUCGUGCCGAUACUUCUGUUGACGCCUACACUCUGGCAUUCUUCAAACAAAUUCUUGAGCUUAACUCUUACAUUUGAUGUAAUUUUUGUUGUACCUCACCCUUCAACCUUUAUGUGGUAAAAAAGAAUUGAUCAUAGUUGCUCAAAACAACCUUAGCCUAGGGGUAAUGUUUUUUGCGUGAAAUUUUAAAAUUACUUGUCGCUUUAAAAUUUGAACUAUGAGUAAUGUUAAGUAUUGGCUUUAGUACAUCAGAGAAAUAAGUACUGGUGGUGCCUUCUAGACAUUUCUGUACCUUGAAGGAAUGAAACAAUUAAUAUUCUAACUUUUUCUCUCGUUUGUUGCAGAAUAAGGAUAUAGUUGUAUAGGAAUUACAACUUUGAUGCAUUUGAAUUUAACUGUAAAAACAUGAACUAUUUUGUUAUAAUGUGCAAGUAUCUAUAUUCAGAAAUCUCCAAAUGUAUAAUAAUUUCAUGGGUUGCUCAUAUUGUUAAGAGUCUCAAUAUUCUUAAAUAUAAAGCUACUGACUCUCUCUCUCUCUCUCUUCUUCUUCUUCUUCUUUUCACUCAAGGCUUGUGUUCUCUAUAUCCUUCGUGUUGGUGUUACCAAUCAGAUGACAGAACCUACUCAAAGGAGUUUUUUGGUUUUUCUUGGACAGCAGCUUAUGUCUCCUGAUGCCAGUCCUUCCAUGAAAAUUGCUGGUCUACGUACUGUCUCAUAUACCCUAAAAACUCUGGGAGAGGUUCCAGCUGAGUUCAAGGAAGUACUUGACAACACUGUUGUUGCAGCAGUAUCUCAUUCUUCUCAACUUGUAAGCUCUAGAUUUCGCAUUUGAAGCUUGAACAUCUUUGAAUAGAUAUAAUUGUUCUUAUUAUCUCCAUAAUGGUCAUGACUUGUUUAAAUCUCACAUCUUAUCACCACUUUCUAGGCAUUGUUGUGUUUAAAUUUAAUGUAUUCCUUGGUUAUGUUUGGGUGAACUUCUGAUUGUAAUGGUUUUCCAUGCCAACUAGUCUGGGUGUUGGACAUGAGUAUUACUUAGGUAGGCAGGUUGAUAGAGGUGGUUGGGUAAAGGAAAUUGGGUUUUUUUUUUUUUUUUUUUGGUCUGAAAAGGAAAUUGGGUUAAGACAGCAUAAACUUCCUCUACAUGGAUAAGGGAAACAAUGUUACCUUAUUCUUGGUAGAUAACAUGUGUUGAGGUAUUAACUGGCCAUAUUUGUUAUUGCUUAGGCUAUGAAAUCUGACCAACCUUUUAAAUCAGCUAGCAGUUUGGUCAAAGCUCUUGAAGUAUUGGAUAUGCUUCAAAUCUUAUUGUAUUAUUCUAUUUCUCGGACUGAUACCUUGGACUUUUGUUUGUUUUGCUUUUCAGUUCUUGAUUCACAAUUUCAUUUUCUUUCUUGAUAUCACGAGGUUUUGUUGUGACGUAUUUUCUUUGCUCUUGGUCCUACACUCCUGCUCUUAAGUGAUUGGAAGUAAACUAUUUUUGUCACAUGUUGAAGUGUGUGGUUAAAAAAACAUUUAAAGAGAAUAGUAUGAGAGAAAAGUGGGGUUGUAGAAUCAUUUCUUUAUAAUUUUCUAAUAAAAAUCUACUUUAUAAUUGUCAUAUUUAUCCUUGUAAUUUAAUUUAUUCUUAAAGUUUUUUAAUCUUUCAGAGUUAAAUCUAUCAAAAUUUUCAUAUGAAUAUUGUAUAAAUGAAUAUUGCAUGUUUGUUCUUAAUAGAUGGAUAUUGUGUAGUUGGUGAUCUUGACAAGGCCUCUGAUUUUUUCCAAGAUGGUUUAAGCAGAGGGGUCACCCCUGCACGUUAUUCUUUUGAAUUCAUGGCCAGUGCAUAUUGCAGAAAGAACAGGGCAACAGAUGCAUAUAAGUUUGUGUUGGUUUGGUAAGUGAAAGAGGCAGCUCAAGCCAUGGCAUACAACAUACAAACUGUUGACUAUUAAGUUAUUGGUUCUGGAUGGAUUUAGAGGUGCUAAGAAUAAUCAGGGUCUGCUGCAAAAUGAUGGGUUCCCUCCUUUGAUUGACCCGACCCAUCAUUCAUCAAGCAUGUAUUCAAGACUUUCAAGUCCAUGUAGUGUGUUUGUCCGAGUAUUUGAAGCACACAAUUCCUUUCGAAAGCCCUGGCUUCAUCCCUACUCAUUCCGAUAUUGAUAAUCAAUGUCCUGUUAAAUCUGUAGAAAGUGCUAGUACCAAUUGUAGGUACAAGUUUUGAUUAACUUGGUGU